GGAUUCUCCUGCCUCAGUGUCCUGAGUAGCUGGGAAUACAGCUAGCAGAAGGCCAAGCCAGACCAGCCCAGGACUGCAGGUGUUUUAAGCAUUUUACUUCACUUGCCCACUUGGGCUGCCAUUGCUCCUGCCCUUGGCACUCGCUCUUUCCUGGCUAGACAAGUUGGGAUUAGUCCUGGAAGAACAGCCAAGGACUGGGGUCUGCUUUGCUCUGCCCCACUCCCUCUCUCUCCUGGGAAGAGGACCAUGAUGUGGGGGCUCAGGACGACGCAAACCCACAGGGCCCCUGAGGAGGCACGGGGCAGGCUCAAUAUUCCUGCCAACAGUGGCAGCAACACACACUUCCGCAGUGCCCACUGUGUGCCACCUGAUGAUCUGCUAACCCCUCACCUCGACCCUCGGAAGUUGCAACUCGCAGCCUUUGCACCUUACAGACAAGCAAACUGAGGCACAGAGACAUAACACGGCUUGCACAGGGUCACACCGCUGAAAACACAUGUUGGCCGGUGCGGUGGCUCAUGCCUGUAA
rnacentral:lncRNA from 1 species